CUGUUGAAGACGCCUACACCAUACAGAGAGAUCUGAACCAGAGGCUUCCUGCAGGACUAGGGGGAAGGUGAGAAGUAUCAGAGGGAGAAGACAGACGUACAGUAAAAGGAAAUUCUGAAAAUGUCCUGAGGAGCACAUCAAGGGUGAGGAAGGGGCAAGUACCUCCUCCCAGAUGCAGGAAGGGAAAGAAGAAACUUAAGAGAGGAGUGAGGAGCAGAUAGGCCACAGAGUGAAAAGGUCUGCCCCUGGCCCUCCCCUCAGCUUGGGCCAGCCCUCCAGGGACACCCAGCC